GGGUGCGAUCAUACCAGCACUAAUGCACCGGAUCCCAUCAGAACUCCGCAGUUAACCGUGCUUGGGCGAGAGUAGUACUAGGAUGGGUGACCUCCUGGGAAGUCCUCGUGUUGCACCCC
rnacentral:rRNA from 1 species